UGUGAGUCAGAUAUGUCUGCUGCUAAUCUAUUGGUUAUAAAAUAUCACAGCCUUUUCUGAUUGGCUGAGUUCAAAUACAGAAAGUUUACCUGUUAGAUUGAAAUUCUGGAGCAGGCGUAUUGUAAAAUAUGCAGGUUAAACUUGUUGUUAAAAUGAAGUUAAUGUAAUGUUCACAAACAGUAGAGUUAAUGAGUUUUUCCAUUAACAAGAAUUUCUUAAAAUAAUAAUGUAUGGAUAUCAUUUGGAAAGUGACAUGAAAUGUUGUUAAAAAGUGAUGCAUACAAGUGUUUCAGAAGUCUGUCUAGGAAUAGAACAACAACUGAAGCUGACCAGUUGAUGAAAGAUACUGCAGAGUUUGGCAGGGAAAUAACCCAAGACAGCAAAGCGGCUCUUUUGGCGCAUUUACUAAGAGGACUAACAUGGCCACAAAUUCAUGAGAUCAUGCAGGAGCCGUACAGUAUAACAGCAGUACAAGUUCUAUAAAAGAUCCACAACCUACUGAAGCCCAGCUAAUUAACAAAAAAGUUUUUAAAAACUGUAAUUUUAUCCCACCUGGGUACUUAUAAUUUACUAAGCUGCCUACACAAGUUUUAGACUUGCAAUUAUAUUUUAAACUGUCACUUGGAAAGUAAUACAUGUACAUGCAUUAUGUUCUGAAUUUCUUUGAACAAUAAAAUUAUAUAAAAGUAUUUUAAUGAAAUUGAGCACCUAAAUUGCAUUUAAGUGAAAGUAGCUGAGAAAAAUAGUAUCCUUGUGCUCAUGGGCAGCUACAUAUAUUGUGACAAACAUGAAUU